CUACGGGCGGCUCCAGUGGGGAAUAUUGGACAAUGGGCGCAAGCCUGAUCCAGCAAUGCCGCGUGAGUGAAGACGGCCUCAGGGUUGUAAAACUCUUUCGCUAGGGAAGAUAAUGACUGUACCUAGUAAAGAAGUCCCGGCUAACUCCGUGCCAGCAGCCGCGGUAAUACGGAGGGGACUAGCGUUGUUCGGAAUUACUGGGCGUAAAGAGUUCGUAGGCGGACUGACAAGUUAGAGGUGAAAUCCCAGGGCUCAACCCUGGAACUGCCUUUAAAACUGUCAGUCUAGAGACCGGAAGAGGUUAGGGGAAUACCUAGUGUAGAGGUGAAAUUCGUAGAUAUUAGGUGGAACACCAGUGGCGAAGGCGCCUAACUGGUCCGGUACUGACGCUGAGGAACGAAAGCGUGGGGAGCAAACAGGAUUAGAUACCCCAGUAGUC
rnacentral:rRNA from 1 species